AGUGGAUCUGCCAGGCAUGCAGGCCGCGGGCAUGGCCCACCUUGCCGCGGAUGCCGUCCGUACUCUGGGCCACCGGGUGCCGGUGGAAGGGAAAGACUGCCAAGAAUAGUAAAGGGCUGCCAAAAAUGGAGAAGAUCCAAUGGGGGGCGAGAGAGCACCUGUGGCCACAGAUCUGGGAUAAAGCUGGCAGAGCCAACCAGGAGCUGGCACUACCUGAUGGAAAAAAACCAAUGGUUCCCAAACAGAAGCCCGGGAGCUGCCUCAGGCACCCUGAGGAGAAAGGAUGACGGGACUAGCAAAGGAAACCAUCAGCCCCCAUCAGCCAUCAUCACAGGAAGCAGUGUGUCCAUGAGGCAGAACAGGAGGUGGGGCCUGCACUGGGAGAAGCCCAGGGCUACAGAUCUCGGCCACCUGGAUAGAAGCAAGGCCAAAAGAAAUCAUGGCAACAGUCCUGGGAAUUAAAUUAUCAUGAACCAAGGAGCGAUCCUUUUCUCCUAAGAUACUUCCUGGCCUUUCCUCUAUAUAAAAUCACUCGAUCGCAAAAUGUCGAUCUAGAGAAGCUUCUCCUCUUCCAAAGAGGAACAAGCAUAGUGUAGAGUCAAAGAUGCUAACAGGAGAAAUAAAGGAGGAAAAGGG